rnacentral:rRNA from 1 species
UGGGGAAUAUUGCACAAUGGGCGAAAGCCUGAUGCAGCGACGCCGCGUGAGGGAUGACGGCCUUCGGGUUGUAAACCUCUUUCGGUAGGGACGAAGCGAAAGUGACGGUACCUACAGAAGAAGCGCCGGCCAACUACGUGCCAGCAGCCGCGGUAAGACGUAGGGCGCAAGCGUUGUCCGGAUUUAUUGGGCGUAAAGAGCUCGUAGGCGGCUUGUUGCGUCGACUGUGAAAACCCGUGGCUCAACCAUGUGGUCUGCAGUCGAUACGGGCAGGCUAGAAUUCGGUAGGGGAGACUGGAAUUCCUGGUGUAGCGGUGAAAUGCGCAGAUAUCAGGAGGAACACCGGUGGCGAAGGCGGGUCUCUGGGCCGAUAUUGACGCUGAGGAGCGAAAGCGUGGGGAGCGAACAG